GAUUUCCUGAGAUGUUCGCCAGUGGGUUACGUCCCUGAGCCGAUAUUUACAUAUUUAGAGUUAGUUCUCUAUAUUGUUGGUGUGCAAGCUUGGUUUUACUAAGAAGCCUAAAAACGAUUAAAACUGACUCCCUUGAACCGUCGGGUUCAAGGACCGACCACCUACAACGGCAUCUCGGGUUCCUU
rnacentral:other from 1 species